UAUGAUUUAGUGUAAAUAGCACAAAGAUUUUUGGUAUCUUUAGUCAAGCUUUUUCUUGAUUCAUAA
rnacentral:tRNA from 1 species